GAAAAAUAGCACCAUGUUAAUGGGCUGAAUGGGAACGAGGAAACUUCAAAUGCAAACCUCAUUAGAGAAACUAGUCCAAGAAGAAACCUACACCAAGAAGAAUCAAUGCAUAGAAGUGAGCAAUUUUUGGACUGCUCACGGCAUCCAGAAAGCCUUGGGAUAUCCAUCAAAGCCUCCUGCCACCUUGCCUCGAAUUUCAGCAAACUGAUCUUAGAUAUCUAUAAAGGGGAAAGCCCAUUCAUCUUGGGAGAAGAUCCCUGAGGCUACAGGACUGCAUCAGGAAAUGCUGCGUGUAUAAUUGUUAUUUUAAAACUGUUAUUAAUUUAAUUGCAUAGGAAAUGGUUCCCAAAGUUCUGUUCUUUCAGAAUGUUUGUCAGAAAU